UACGUAGGGGGCAAGCGUUUGUCCGGAUUUAUUGGGCGUAAAGAGCGUGUAGGCGCCACACAGGUCUGCUGUGAAAGACUCGAGGCUCAACCUCGAGCUGUCGGUGGAAACCGUGUGGCUAGAGUCCGGAAGAGGAGAGUGGAAUUCCCGGUGUAGCGGUGAAAUGCGCAGAUAUCGGGAAGAACACCCGUGGCGAAGGCAGGUCUCUGGGCCACUACUGACGCUGAGAAGCGAAAAGCAUGGGGAGCGAACAGG
rnacentral:rRNA from 1 species